UCAAUUACAAAAGCUUUUGGGCCACAAUGUAAUUAUUUGAAAGUUGGGGGGCUAAAUUACAAAUUUUCCAGAUUAUCAUACAAAGCUUGGAAAUCAUCUUCUACAACUCUCUCCUACAACAUUCUGUCAGCGGCAAUGGCUACCGCUAACGGUGCUACCAAUUACUGAUCGCCGGCAAUUUUUUCGGUUACCAAAUUUUCUCAAAAUACACCCUCUCACUUAAUUUUUCGCGUAGAUUCCAUUUCUGAACUUAGUUUUUAACAAAAAAUGAAUCAAAAAAUGGCGAAAUUGCCAAAAUACAGCCACAAUUUUUAUUUUUAAAC
rnacentral:lncRNA from 1 species